rnacentral:rRNA from 1 species
AAAUUGAAGAGUUUGAUCAUGGCUCAGAUUGAACGCUGGCGGCAGGCUUAACACAUGCAAGUCGAACGGGUUGAAAGCUUGCUUUCAAUGCUGACGAGUGGCGGACGGGUGAGUAAGGCUUGGGGAUCUGGCUUUUGGAGGGGGAUAACCAUUGGAAACGAUGGCUAAUACCGCAUAGUAUCGAGAGAUGAAAGGGGUGGGAGACCACUUGCCAAGGAUGAACCCAAGUGAGAUUAGGUAGUUGGUGGGGUAAGGGCCUACCAAGCCGACGAUCUCUAGCUGGUCUGAGAGGAUGGCCAGCCACACUGGGACUGAGACACGGCCCAGACUCCUACGGGAGGCAGCAGUGGGGAAUAUUGCGCAAUGGGGAACCCUGACGCAGCCAUGCCGCGUGAAUGAAGAAGGCCUUCGGGUUGUAAAGUUCUUUCGGUGAGGAAGGCGGUAGUGUUAAUAGCGCUAUUGUUUGACGUUAGCCACAGAAGAAGCACCGGCUAACUCCGUGCCAGCAGCCGCGGUAAUACGGAGGGUGCGAGCGUUAAUCGGAAUAACUGGGCGUAAAGGGCACGCAGGCGGACGUUAAGUGAGAUGUGAAAGCCCCGGGCUUAACCUGGGAACAGCAUUUCAUACUGGCGUACUAGAGUACUUUAGGGAGGGGUAGAAUUCCACGUGUAGCGGUGAAAUGCGUAGAGAUGUGGAGGAAUACCGAAGGCGAAGGCAGCCCCUUGGGAAGAUACUGACGCUCAUGUGCGAAAGCGUGGGGAGCAAACAGGAUUAGAUACCCUGGUAGUCCACGCUGUAAACGCUGUCGAUUUGAGGGUUGUACGAAAGGUAUGGCUCUCGAAGCAAGCCGUGAUAAAUCGACCGCCUGGGGAGUACGGCCGCAAGGUUAAAACUCAAAUGAAUUGACGGGGACUCGCACAAGCGGUGGAGCAUGUGGUUUAAUUCGAUGCAACGCGAAGAACCUUACCUACUCUUGACAUCCUGAGGAGAAGCUAGAGAUAACUGUGCUUUCGAGAACUUAGAGACAGGUGCUGCAUGGCUGUCGUCAGCUCGUGUUGUGAAAUGUUGGGGUAAGUCCCGCAGCGCAGCCCUUAUUCUUUGUUACCAGCGGGUGGGCCGGGGACUCAAAGGAGACUGCCAG